CAAGUACUCCCUCCGUCCGAAAAUACUUGUCAUCAAAAUGGAUAAAAAAGAUGUUUCUAGAACUAAUAUACAUCUAGAUACAUCCCCUUUUAUUCAUUUUGAUGACAAGUAUUUUCGGACAGAGGGAGUACUAC
rfam:Triticum aestivum genome assembly, contig: Triticum_aestivum_CS42_TGACv1_scaffold_249512_3DL